CCCUAGCCCUGAUGGGAGGGAAAAUCCUUUUGUGCCGGGGUUCGGCACAAAAGAUUGGAAGGACAGCAGGAAAUAGC
rnacentral:sRNA from 2 species